AGCGGCGGACGGGUGAGUAACGCGUGGGUAACCUGCCCUAUACACAUGGAUAACAUACUGAAAAGUUUACUAAUACAUGAUAAUAUAUAUUUGCGGCAUCGCAGAUAUAUCAAAGUGUUAGCGGUAUAGGAUGGACCCGCGUCUGAUUAGCUAGUUGGUGAGAUAACUGCCCACCAAGGCGACGAUCAGUAGCCGACCUGAGAGGGUGAUCGGCCACAUUGGAACUGAGGACACGGUCCAAACUCCUACGGGAGGCAGCAGUGGGGAAUAUUGCACAAUGGGCGAAAGCCUGAUGCAGCAACGCCGCGUGAACGAUGAAGGUCUUCGGAUCGUAAAGUUCUGUUGCAGGGGAAGAUAAUGACGGUACCCUGUGAGGAAGCCCCGGCUAACUACGUGCCAGCAGCCGCGGUAAUACGUANGGGGCUAGCGUUAUCCGGAUUUACUGGGCGUAAAGGGUGCGUAGGUGGUCCUUCAAGUCGGUGGUUAAAGGCU
rnacentral:rRNA from 1 species